rnacentral:sRNA from 1 species
AUCAUCUGACCAUGUACAACAAAUGUAAUGAAAACGGUACACCUGAACCAAGGCAAACCCAACAGUUUAAUUUAAAAACUCAAAGAUACUAAGUAUUCCCUUCAACUGGACAUUCAGAAACUUCACGUGGCUACAUUGUAUUUCCCCCCACGAGUUGCUUCAGGGUUGUGAAAUUCACUGGACUGUGGAGGGAGCCUUAAACCUUUGUGGGUGAUUGACGUCUAAAGUACCUGAGCUUUUCUGGUUCUGCUGACCCUCAGUCUCCUGGACCCUAGAAGAAUCAGACCCAUCCUUCAGUCUCAUCUCUAGAAGCCCAGAAUAAAAUGAAAAAGGUAUGAACGAGAAGAGAGAAAUCACUGUUGACAACACAUUUUACCUAGCAGUCCAACAUUGUUUAUCAGCAUAAUAAAAUGUGCCAAUACUCACCAGCACUCUAAAAUAUGCACUAAUAAUAAAUAGAGAUAUAGGGCAUAA